rnacentral:rRNA from 1 species
ACGCUCGACACCUACGGGAGACAGCAGUGGGGAAUAUUGCACAAUGGGGGAAACCCUGAUGCAGCAACGCCGCGUGAAGGAAGACGGUUUUCGGAUUGUAAACUUCUGUUCUUAGUGAAGAUAGUGACGGUAGCUAAGGAGCAAGCCACGGCUAACUACGUGCCAGCAGCCGCGGUAAUCUGAGGCGGGCUGGCAAGGC